rnacentral:rRNA from 1 species
UACGUAGGGUGCAAGCGUUAAUCGGAAUUACUGGCCGUAAAGCGUGCGCAGGCGGUUUUGUAAGUUUGACGUGAAAUCCCUGGGCUUAACCUGGGAAUUGCGUUGGAGACUGCAAGGCUAGAAUCUGGCAGAGGGGGGUAGAAUUCCACGUGUAGCAGUGAAAUGCGUAGAGAUGUGGAGGAACACCGAUGGCGAAGGCAGCCCCCUGGGUCAAGAUUGACGCUCAUGCACGAAAGCGUGGGGAGCAAACAGG